rnacentral:rRNA from 1 species
AGCAGCCGCGGUAAUUCCAGCUCCAAUAGCGUAUAUUAAAGUUGUUGCAGUUAAAAAGCUCGUAGUUGAAUUUCGGGAUCAAUAUGUCGGUCGUGCUUUUUGGUACGUACUGGCGUCAUUGGUUUCUCCUUUCUGACGAACCAUGAUGUCAUUAAUUUGGUGUUAUGGGGAGUUAGGACUGUUACUUUGAAAAAAAUUGGAGUGUUUAUAGCAGGCUCACGCUUGAAUACAUUAGCAUGGAAUAAUGAAAUAGGACGUUUGACCCUAUUUUGUUGGUUUCUAGGAUCGACGUAAUGAUUAAUAGGGAUAGUUGGGGGCAUUAGUAUUCAAUUGUCAGAGGUGAAAUUCUUGGAUUUAUUGAAGACUAACUACUGCGAAAGCAUUUGCCAAGGAUGUUUUCAUUAAUCAAGAACGAAAGUUAGGGGAUCGAAGACGAUCAGAUACCGUCGUAGUCUUAACCAUAAACUAUGCCGACUAGGGAUCGGAUGGUGUUAAUUUUUUUAAUGACUCAUUCGGCGCC